GCCUCUACCUGCUUGUUCAUGUGGAGGAUUGCGUUCAUUGCUUGAUUUACAGUAACAAGAAUAUGUCAUGCGUUUUCCGAUGGGGCUCAAUGAUUCCUAUUUGCACAUUCGAGGUCAGAUUUUACUUCUUGAACCUCUUCCCCAAUUAACAUGAUUUUUUCCCUUGUUCUUAAAGAAGAGAGAUAGCGUGAGAUUGGUUCUGUUUUGCUUCCUUCCAUUUAGUCUGUUGCUUUAUCUUCAGUCUGCUGCUUUAUCUUAAGUCUUCUACUGGACAAAAGAAUUUUACACGGAAAAAGAGGCAUGUUUGCUCCCACUGUGGAAUACAAGGGCAUACUGUUGAGAAGUGCUUCAAAAUUCAUGGAUAUCCACCUAGAUAUUGCUCCAAAGCAAGGUCCUCGGUUGCUUCACCUUCUGCCAAUCAAGUUACUUCCACUGAAUCCACUUACAGUUUUCCAAUAUCCUAGUCACAAUGCCAACAAUUACUAGCCCUCCUUAGUUCAGAAUCCUCUUAGUCUACAUCCAAGCAGCCAACGUAACUUCCUCAUCUUCUAUUGAACAUUUAUAAGGACCUCGCAAAUUAGAGGACGAUUGGGAAAGGACAUGCUAAAGAAGGUUUAUACUUGCUGCAAACAUCAACCAGACCAUGGUCUUCACUCUAGAGAUUUGUUUUUUGUAUCUGCUGUUUCUGGUACUUGCACUAAUAAUGCUCUUGAUACUUGGCACAAAAGGUUGGGUCAUCCCUCCUUUUCUUGCAUGAAACUUUUACCUCAAUUUGCUUCAUUUGUUUCUAACAAUGUUUAAGAACAUUGUGUUGUUUGUUCCCUUGCUAAACACAGGAUAUUACAUUUUCCCAUUAAUGUA